UUUCAGACAUCUUGUCUAAUAAUCCGUUUUAUUUAAAAUUUUUACAUAAAUAUUAUAUAUUUUGUUAAGAUCUAUUUUAUCAUUAGCGAUAGUACUAAUGAUUUAUUUAUUUUAUAAUUUACAUAAAAUUUUUGAAUAAGACAAAUGGUGAAACAUGAUUUUUAAGGGUUUAUGCUAUUCUCACUUGGUAAAAAUAGAGGAUGACAGAUGGGACCGCUCAUUUGGUAAAAGAAUAUGUGUCUCCAACAAGUUGCGCUCGGGAUAGCAACUUGGCUUGACAAAUCUCGGCAGUAGAAACCUCUAGAUAACAACUUGGGAAAUUUAGCAAGUUGAGAUAAGGAGUUGUUGGAGGAGGAUUUUUAUGUUUUAGCAAAUUUUGUAGGGUAGCAAGUUGAAAUACAAGUUAUUGGAGAUGCUCUAAGUCAUAUAAAAAAAAGUCCCUAUAAGAAGCUCCACAGUGCCUCUCGUUCUAGAUUCUUCCCCAAAUUUCUCAUCCCCUCAUCCCCAUCAUCCGGUGGUCUCUCCCUCACGUUCUCGAUCCCCACCAGGGCGGCGCGGGCGACGCAGCAGCGACGGCCGGCCUCCUCCUCUCCACUCGCGUCGCGUCUCGCCGUGUCGACCAGAUCCGUGCCGCCGGCUCAUGGUGGAGUACGACGGCAUCCCAGGGCCACGGCGCAGCGGGCUAGGGUUUGGCUUCUCCCUCUCUUGUCCUUCCCCACGGCCUCGUCCCCGGCGCCAGCGACCCUGGCACGGCCGAUCUCGGGAAGGGAGGCACCUCUGGCGCGGCGGGGCUCCGGCGUGGACAGACGAACGCCCCCUCAAUCUGCAACGGCGGUACGGGGCCGGCGCGACGUCGUUGGGGCGACCUUGCCCCCUGAGCAGAGGCGGCGCGGGCGGAGCACCCUCCCCUCCCCCGCGUGGGGGCUCUGGCGGCGAGCAUCUCCAUCAGGUUAAAUGGUUAUUGCUAUUCUUCAUUGAUUGAGGAUUAAUGAGGGGAUGAGCACUACACAACCUCUGGCCCCUGUGUAUGAUAAGAUUUUCAGAGCAAAAAGGUUCCUUUGUGGAAGUGGUCUUGGUCAGCUGGUUGAAAUAAUAAAGGCAAU